CCCAGCCACUCACCUUCCAGGAAGCGUGGAUUCCUGGAAGUGAGGGGAACAGCCGUCAUUUCGCAGGCAGUGGCAGCCGCACGUGAAUAAACCUGACUGAACUGGAGGUAGCAGAAAUGGCUGGUUCCUCGGAAGGGCCUCCUUCAGGAUGAAGAAACUAAGGAAGAAGGCCAAACAAAUUACUUCCUGAGUCUUCUGGAUCAGCAUCUGAGGAUCCAAGCCCAGCGUUUAAGGAACAACUCUUUGCGGUCACUACUGUUCAGCUGUAUAUGCUUGGAGGGGUAGAGAAAAUAGAAUGGGGAAGUUCCAUGUGAACUAUAGUAAUUCUUUUUCUUUUUCUUUUUUUCGGAGCUGGGGACC